rnacentral:rRNA from 1 species
UACGUAGGGGGCUAGCGUUGUCCGGAAUCAUUGGGCGUAAAGAGCGUGUAGGCGGUCCGGUAAGUCCGCUGUGAAAGUCGGGGGCUCAACCCUCGAAUGCCGGUGGAUACUGUCGGGCUAGAGUGCGGAAGAGGCGAGUGGAAUCCUGGUGUAGCGGUGAAAUGCGCAGAUAUCGGGAGGAACACCUAUGGCGAAGGCAGCUCGCUGGGACGUUACUGACGCUGAGACGCGAAAGCGUGGGGAGCAAACAGG